CCUACGGGAGGCAGCAGUGGGGAAUAUUGCGCAAUGGGCGAAAGCCUGACGCAGCGACGCCGCGUGAGGGAUGAAGGUCUUCGGAUCGUAAACCUCUGUCAGCAGGGAGGAACGGUCACUGUGCUAAUCAGCAGUGAAUUGACGGUACCUACAAAGGAAGCACCGGCUAACUCCGUGCCAGCAGCCGCGGUAAUACGGAGGGUGCAAGCGUUAAUCGGAAUUACUGGGCGUAAAGCGCUCGUAGGCGGUAGGUCAAGUCAAGGGUGAAAUCCCCGGGCUUAACGUGGGAAUUGCCUUUGAAACUGGCAAACUGGAGUGUGUGAGAGGAUAGUGGAAUUCCAGGUGUAGGGGUGAAAUGCGUAGAGAUCUGGAGGAAUAUCAGUGGCGAAGGCGACUAUCUGGAACAUAACUGACGCUGAGGAGCGAAAGCGUGGGUAGCAAACAGGAUUAGAUACCCCUGUAGUC
rnacentral:rRNA from 1 species